GUCUGUGCUCCCGAUGCGUGUUUCGAUCAAGGCUCAUCUGAGGUUUAUCUUCAGUGCUCAUCGGUCCAGUGCAGAUUUCGGUUGCAAUGUUGUCCCUUGGUUUACUGUAGCGACAUUUGGACAAGAAAUGAGGAAAUGGUAGGCAACUCUGAUCCUGUAUAUAGGUUAUGAUUUCAGACUAUCUCCAUUAUUGGAAAUCCAUGUGUUUCAGGAAAGCAAGGAUCUGACUAAUUCCCAUGUAAUCUAUCGAUGGAGUGCUCCGAUGGCAGUUUUCUUUGAGAUUAGUGAAUUAUCAGCUCUACAGGAGAAGUCAACUUUCUGAUUGCUGAACCGGGUCUGAUUCUGAUUUAGGUAUUUAAAG